rnacentral:rRNA from 1 species
AGUGAACGCUGGCGGUAGGCCUAACACAUGCAAGUCGAACGGCAGCACAGUAAGAGCUUGCUCUUACGGGUGGCGAGUGGCGGACGGGUGAGGAAUACAUCGGAAUCUACUUUUUCGUGGGGGAUAACGUAGGGAAACUUACGCUAAUACCGCAUACGACCUACGGGAGAAAGCAGGGGAUCUUCGGACCUUUCGCGAUUGAAUGAGCCGAUGUCGGACUAGCUAGUUGGGGGGGUAAAGGCCCACCAAGGCAACGAUACGUAGCUGAUCUGAGAGGAUGAUCGGCCACACUGGAACUGAGACACGGUCCAGACUCCUACGGGAGGCAGCAGUGGGGAAUAUUCGACAAUGGGCGCAAGCCUGAUCCAGCAAUGCCGCGUGAGUGAAGAAGGCCUUCGGAUUGUAAAGCCCUUUUGUUAGGAAAGAAAAACAGCGGGUUAAAACACCGCUGUUCUGACGGUACCCAAAGAGUAAGCACCGGCUAACUUCGUG